UACGAAGGGGGCUAGCGUUGCUCGGAAUCACUGGGCGUAAAGCGCACGUAGGCGGAUUGCUAAGUCAGGGGUGAAAUCCCGGAGCUCAACUCCGGAACUGCCUUUGAUACUGGCGAUCUUGAGUUCGGGAGAGGUGAGUGGAACUGCGAGUGUAGAGGUGAAAUUCGUAGAUAUUCGCAAGAACACCAGUGGCGAAGGCGGCUCACUGGCCCGAUACUGACGCUGAGGUGCGAAAGCGUGGGGAGCAAACAGG
rnacentral:rRNA from 1 species